UAGACGGCACGCACGGAGCUUGCCCUGGUGGUAAGUGGCGAACGGGUGAGUAAUAUAUCGGAACGUACCCUAAGAGUCGGGGGAUAACGUAGCGAAAGUUACGCUAAUACCGCAUACGAUCUAAGGAUGAAAGUGGGGUGAUCGCAAGACCUCAUGCUCCUGGACGCAGGCCGAUAUCUGAUUAGCUAGUUGGUGAGGUAAAGGCUCACCAAGGCAUCGAUCAGUAGCUGGUCUGAGAGUGACGACCAGCCACGACUGGAACUGAGGACACGGUCCAGACUCCUACGGGAGGCAGCAGUGGGGAAUUUUGGACAAUGGGGGCAACCCUGAUCCAGCAAUGCCGCGUGAGUGAAGAAGGCCUUCGGGUUGUAAAGCUCUUUUGUCAGGGAAGAAACGGUGAGGGCUAAUAUCUCUUGCUAAUGACGGUACCUGAACGAAUAAGCACCGGCUAACUACGUGCCAGCAGCCGCGGUAAUACGUAGGGUGCAAGCGUUAUCGGAAUUACUGGUGCGUAAAGCGUGCUGCAGGCGGUUUGUAAGACUGUCGUGAAAUCCCCGGGCUCAACCUGGGAAUGGCGACUGGUGACUGCAAGGCUAGAGUUUGGCAGAGGGGGGUAGAAUUCCACGUGUAGCACGUGAAAUGACGUAGAUACUGUGGACGGAAACACCAGAUGGCGAACGUCUGCCCCUGCGUCCAAACUGACGCCCAUGCACGAAAGCGUGGGGAAGCAACAGGAUUAAAUACCUUGUUAUUCAAGCCCUAAAGAUUUACUACU
rnacentral:rRNA from 1 species